rnacentral:rRNA from 1 species
CCUACGGGUGGCAGCAGUGAGGAAUAUUGGUCAAUGGCCGUAAGGCUGAACCAGCCAAGUAGCGUGAGGGAAGACUGCCCUAUGGGUUGUAAACCUCUUUUAUAAGGGAAUAAAGUGUGGGACGUGUCCUAUUUUGUAUGUACCUUAUGAAUAAGGAUCGGCUAACUCCGUGCCAGCAGCCGCGGUAAUACGGAGGAUCCGAGCGUUAUCCGGAUUUAUUGGGUUUAAAGGGUGCGUAGGCGGCCUUUUAAGUCAGCGGUGAAAGUCUGUGGCUCAACCAUAGAAUUGCCGUUGAAACUGGGGGGCUUGAGUAUGUUUGAGGCAGGCGGAAUGCGUGGUGUAGCGGUGAAAUGCUUAGAUAUCACGCAGAACCCCGAUUGCGAAGGCAGCCUGCCAAGCCAUGACUGACGCUGAUGCACGAAAGCGUGGGGAUCAAACAGGAUUAGAUACCCUAGUAGUC